rnacentral:rRNA from 1 species
AGAACGAACGCUGGCGGCAGGCUUAACACAUGCAAGUCGAGCGCCUCGCAAGAGGAGCGGCAGACGGGUGAGUAACACGUGGGAACGUGCCCAAAGGUACGGAACAACUCCGGGAAACUGGAGCUAAUACCGUAUGUGCCCGAAAGGGGAAAGAUUUAUCGCCUUUGGAUCGGCCCGCGUCUGAUUAGCUAGUUGGCGGGGUAAUGGCCCACCAAGGCGACGAUCAGUAGCUGGUCUGAGAGGAUGACCAGCCACAUUGGGACUGAGACACGGCCCAAACUCCUACGGGAGGCAGCAGUGGGGAAUAUUGGACAAUGGGCGCAAGCCUGAUCCAGCCAUGCCGCGUGAGUGAUGAAGGCCUUAGGGUUGUAAAGCUCUUUCGCCGAGGACGAUAAUGACGGUACUCGGAUAAGAAGCCCCGGCUAACUUCGUGCCAGCAGCCGC